AGCAGCCGCGGUAAUUCCAGCUCCAAUAGCGUAUAUUAAAGUUGUUGCAGUUAAAAGCUCGUAGUUGAAUUUCGAGAUCAAAUUGUUGGUCGUGCCUCGGUACGUACUGGCAUUAUUGAUUUCUCCCUUCUGACGAUCCGCGAUGUCAUUAAUUUGGUGUCGUGGGGAAUCAGGACUGUUACUUGAAAAAUUAGAGUGUUUAAAGCAGGCUCACGCUUGAAUACAUUAGCAUGGAAUAAUGAAAUAGGACGUUUGAUUCUAUUUUGUUGGUUUCUAGGACCGACGUAAUGAUUAAUAGGGAUAGUUGGGGGCGUUAGUAUUCAAUUGUCAGAGGUGAAAUUCUUGGAUUUAUUGAAGACUAACUACUGCGAAAGCAUUUGCCAAGGAUGUUUUCAUUAAUCAAGAACGAAGUUAGGGGAUCGAAGACGAUCAGAUACCGUCGUAGUCUUAACCAUAAAACUAUGCCGACUAGGGAUCGGAUGAUGUUAAUUUUUUAAUGACUCAUUCGGCGCCUUACGGG
rnacentral:rRNA from 1 species